AUUUUGAUACAACAAGGCUAAAUCAUUGAAAAUAAGGAAUUUUCAUCAACCUUAUCACUUUGCACGACCAUUAUUCUGAAAAACAGAGAGAAAAGAAAACCAAAAACCAUUUCUUGGCUGGUCUGAAGAAAUUCUAAGGAGAUCCAAGUGAAAGCAAAGCCAAAGAAGUAGAUUAAGCUUAGUUCUAACCUUUUUAUGAUAUUUCUUGGGUUUUCCAAGUGGUUUGAGGUUUAGAAAAGCUUGAAGAGAUUGUUUUCGCCAAAAAGUUGCUCGGUAGAGAAAGAAAUGUGUGAAUGACAUGAGGAGAACUGAAGCAUGGUCCUGACCCUGAUUUGUACAUAUGAACAUAUCGACCUUUUUGUGGGUUAUUUCAGUUAUCAGUGAGAUGUUUGUAAUAAAGUGUGAAGUUAUGUUUUGAAAACAAAUUGGGUUAUUUAAUACUUAUGUAUAAUAUGUUUGA